UACGGGGGGGGCAAGCGUUGUUCGGAAUUACUGGGCGUAAAGGGUUUGUAGGUGGCCAACUAAGUCAGACGUGAAAUCCCUCAGCUUAACUGGGGAACUGCGUCUGAGACUGGAUGGCUUGAGUGCAGGAGAGGAACGCGGAAUUCCAGGUGUAGCGGUGAAAUGCGUAGAUAUCAGGAGGAACACCGGUGGCGAAGGCGGGUCUCUGGGCCGAUACUGACGCUGAGGAGCGAAAGCGUGGGGAGCGAACAGG
rnacentral:rRNA from 1 species